UUUCUAUGGAGAGUUUGAUCCUGGCUCAGGACGAACGCUGGCGGCGUGCCUAAUACAUGCAAGUCGAGCGGAUCGAAUAGAAGCUUGCUUCUAUUUGGUUAGCGGCGGACGGGUGAGUAACACGUGGGCAACCUGCCCUGUAGACGGGGAUAACACCGAGAAAUCGGUGCUAAUACCGGAUAACACG
rnacentral:rRNA from 1 species